rnacentral:rRNA from 1 species
ACUGACAAGCUAGCCGCCCCACCACUUCACCCCACCCCCACCCGUUACAAAACCCAUACACCCUAGAUAAAACAUUCUACCCGCUGAGUAUAGGCGACAGAAAAGAGACUCCAAGAGCUAUAGAAAAAGUACCGCAAGGGAAAGCUGAAAAAGAACUGAAAGAAACCAUUUAAGUGCCUUACAGCAGAGCCUUAACCUCGUACCUUUUGCAUCAUGAUCUAGCCAGCACAAUUAAGCGAAGAGAUCUUUAGUUUAAUCCCCCGAAACUGAAUGAGCUACUCCGAGGCAGCCUAUCCGGGCCAACUCGUCUCUGUGGCAAAAGAGUGAGAAGACCUCUGAGUAGAAGUGAGAAACCUACCGAAUUCAGUUAUAGCUGGUUGCUCCACAGAUGGAUAGAAGUUCAGCCCGCUAGCUUAUCUCGCCCUCCCUUAGGCACAAAUAAACCGGCGGAGUUAGUCAAAAGAGGUACAGCUCUUUUGAACUAGGACACAACCUCAAAAGUUGGUUAAGGAUCAUAAUAUUUUAGGACGCUCUUUCAGUGGGCUUAAAAGCAGCCACCUGCACAAAAAGCGUUAAAGCUUAAAUGACCACCCUCCCCUCAUUCUGAUAAUAGAUCUAACCCACCCAUAUUAAGGAGCCGCUUCAUGCUACUAUGAAAGAGCCCCUGCUAGAAUGAGUAAUAAGGGGACACCCCUCCUUAACACCAGCAUAAAUCGGAUCAGACCCUCUGCCGACAAUUAACGAACCCAGACAUAGAGGGCAACCGCUUACAAUACCCCCAAGAAAAAUUGCAACGCCAUCGUUAAUCUUACACUAGAGUGUUCUAAGGAAAGACCAAAGGGGGGAGAAGGAACUCGGCAAGCACUAGCCUCGCCUGUUUACCAAAAACAUCGCCUCUUGACCGGAACGCAUAAGAGGUCCCGCCUGCCCUGUGACCCUGUUUAACGGCCGCGGUAUUUUGACCGUGCAAAGGUAGCGCAAUCACUUGUCUUUUAAAUGAAGACCCGUAUGAAUGGCAUGACGAGGGCUAAUCUGUCUCCUCUCCUCAGUCAAUGAAAUUGAUCUUCCCGUGCAGAAGCGGGGCUAGCAGCAUUAGACGAGAAGACCCUAUGGAGCUUCAGGUAGUAACGAGCCUAAACUGUCUUACCAUCUAGGAAAGAACGUGCUCACCCCUCUUUACUUGCCUUUGGUUGGGGCGACCACGGAGAAAAUCUUAACCUCCACGUGGAUUGGGACUACUAGUCCUAAAACUUAGGCCUACCGGCCCCGGAAACAGAAGUUCUGACCUAUACUGAUCCGGCACCCGAUUAACGGACUUAGUUACCCUAGGGAUAACAGCGCAAUCCCCUCCAAGAGCUCCUAUCGACGAGGGGGUUUACGACCUCGAUGUUGGAUCAGGAUGUCCUAAUGGUGCAGCCGCUAUUUAGGGUUCGUUUGUUCAACGAUUAAAAUCCUACGUGAUCUGAGUUCAGACCGGAGUAAUCCAGGUCAGUUUCUAUCUAUGAGCUUUCUUCUCUAGUACGAAAGGACCGAGAAGAAGAGGCCCAUGCUCAAAACACGCCUCUGCCUUUUCCAAUGAAAGCAUCUCAACUGGAAGAAGGACGCCCGAUACACGGCCCAGAAAAGGACAUU